GGACGCAAGUCUGAUUGGAGCAACGCCGCGUGAGUGAAGAAGGGUUUCGGCUCGUAAAGCUCUGUUGGUAGUGAAGAAAGAUAGAGGUAGUAACUGGCCUUUAUUUGACGGUAAUUACUUAGAAAGUCACGGCUAACUACGUGCCAGCAGCCGCGGUAAUACGUAGGUGGCAAGCGUUGUCCGGAUUUAUUGGGCGUAAAGCGAGUGCAGGCGGUUCAAUAAGUCUGAUGUGAAAGCCUUCGGCUCAACCGGAGAAUUGCAUCAGAAACUGUUGAACUUGAGUGCAGAAGAGGAGAGUGGAACUCCAUGUGUAGCGGUGGAAUGCGUAGAUAUAUGGAAGAACACCAGUGGCGAAGGCGGCUCUCUGGUCUGCAACUGACGCUGAGGCUCGAAAGCAUGGGUAGCGAACAGGAUUAGAUACCCUGGUAGUCCAUGCCGUAAACGAUGAGUGCUAAGUGUUGGGAGGUUUCCGCCUCUCAGUGCUGCAGCUAACGCAUUAAGCACUCCGCCUGGGGAGUACGACCGCAAGGUUGAAACUCAAAGGAAUUGACGGGGGCCCGCACAAGCGGUGGAGCAUGUGGUUUAAUUCGAAGCAACGCGAAGAACCUGCCAGGUCUUGACAUCCAGUGCAAACCUAAGAGAUUAGGUGUUCCCUUCGGGGACGCUGAGACAGGUGGUGCAUGG
rnacentral:rRNA from 1 species